rnacentral:rRNA from 1 species
GAUCCAGACUUUGAUCAUGGCUCAGGAUGAACGCUAGCUACAGGCUUAACACAUGCAAGUCGAGGGGCAGCGGGAUUGAAGCUUGCUUCAAUUGCCGGCGACCGGCGCACGGGUGAGUAACGCGUAUCCAACCUUCCGUACACUCAGGGAUAGCCCUUCGAAAGAAAGAUUAAUACCUGAUGGUAUGAUGAGAUUGCAUGGUAUCAUCAUUAAAGAUUUAUCGGUGUACGAUGGGGAUGCGUUCCAUUAGGUAGUAGGCGGGGUAACGGCCCACCUAGCCAACGAUGGAUAGGGGUUCUGAGAGGAAGGUCCCCCACAUUGGAACUGAGACACGGUCCAAACUCCUACGGGAGGCAGCAGUGAGGAAUAUUGGUCAAUGGACGAGAGUCUGAACCAGCCAAGUAGCGUGAAGGAUGAAGGUCCUACGGAUUGUAAACUUCUUUUAUAAGGGAAUAAACCCUCCCACGUGUGGGAGCUUGUAUGUACCUUAUGAAUAAGCAUCGGCUAACUCCGUGCCAGCAGCCGCGGUAAUACGGAGGAUGCGAGCGUUAUCCGGAUUUAUUGGGUUUAAAGGGAGCGCAGACGGGUCGUUAAGUCAGCUGUGAAAGUUUGGGGCUCAACCUUAAAAUUGCAGUUGAUACUGGCGUCCUUGAGUGCGGUUGAGGUGUGCGGAAUUCGUGGUGUAGCGGUGAAAUGCUUAGAUAUCACGAAGAACUCCGAUUGCGAAGGCAGCACACUAAUCCGUAACUGACGUUCAUGCUCGAAAGUGUGGGUAUCAAACAGGAUUAGAUACCCUGGUAGUCCACACGGUAAACGAUGGAUACUCGCUGUUGGCGAUAUACUGUCAGCGGCUUAGCGAAAGCGUUAAGUAUCCCACCUGGGGAGUACGCCGGCAACGGUGCAACUCAAAGGAAUUGACGG